AGAAGGGUGUGAAGAAAAGGCGUGAAGUCAGGGCCUCAGGGGAAGGGUCAGAGUGGAGGGGGAGCACCCACCAGAAAAAAACAGAAGUCAGUGCCUGUGCACAAGGGAUUUUGCUAUUGAUUUUAUGUGGAAGGCGCUCAGAUACUAUGGUGAUGAGAGGCAGUAUAAAACUCCAGAAGAGCUGCACAGAGGGUAAUUAUUCAAAGUGGGAUGAACCGCCAGACCCAGCCUCCUCCUGCUUCCCACCAUUGUGUGCAGCAGCAGGGAGCAAUGUCAGGGAAAACGGAAUGGUGGCAUGCACAGGCGGAAAGGAAUUGUGAUGGGCUAGACAGGGACCAGGAAAGGUUAGUGAGAGGCUGUGGGCCCAAUUAGCCCCACCCCGUUGCACCCGUGUGAGGUGUCAAGCCUAGCGGGAGGAGAUAAACGUGGAAAAGCCCAGCUCAGCAAUGGCUGACUAGGAGAGGGAGUAGGCUUCUUAAGCUAGCCCUGUGAAGGAAGGUCUGGCUGGGGCCAGAGCCUAACCCGAGACUGCCGUGAGCUGCAUGGAAGGAAAGCUCAGAAACUUCAAAGCGUCAGAACCUCAUUGGGGCAGGUGCUAUCUGAGGGCCUAAGAAGUUUUACAGACAUCACAACACUCUCUGACAAGAGCUGAUGAGGAAGGCAUCUGUGCUGAGAGCAUCUGAAUGAGAGCUCAGAUAAUGAGCAGAGCUAGAAAAAUACAUGUUGAAGGGUUGGGAUGUAUCAAAGUGCCUGAUAGUUGACUGUGUCAGAGCCAGAAGAAUGCAUAUA